rnacentral:sRNA from 1 species
AAAAGAAUCUGUGGAGUCAGGGAAGAAAGCAGAGAAUGCAGGGCUAACAUAUUUAGCUCGGGAAGCUUCUCCAUUGUGAUGACACCUUACGGGAUGAGAAGGAUUUACCAGAGGAAAAAAUGAGGUAGCUGGGUUUUCACCUAUGUAUCCCCAUGUCUGUCUGUUAUUGUCUUUCUGAUCAAAGACAGCCUCUGUGACAUCCUGGAGUGGAAUUUUAAUAAAGGGAAUGCCUUGGAACUCAAUCACCAUGGGGAUGAAUCAGCAACUUGGCUUCAUGAACAAAAUUAUGGAUUCCUUGAGUAAAUGUUCUACUCCAGUCAGGAGUCCUCACCAACCACAGGGAGUGGAACGACAAAUGCCAAUCCUGAUAUGAAUAAGGAAUGUGUAAGAGCCAAGCUGAUGCAGACCAGCAGGCAGAGAAAAGACCCGGAGGGAAAGACCGAUGAUCACCUUGACAGGUGAGACUCUGAGGCUCCAAUCCUUGUGGACUCCAGAACAGUAAGUCAGAGAACACUGACUAGAACUU